rnacentral:rRNA from 1 species
UGGGGGAAUUUUGGACAAUGGGCGCAAGCCUGAUCCAGCUAUUCCGCGUGUGGGAUGAAGGCCCUCGGGUUGUAAACCACUUUUGUAGAGAACGAAAAGACACCUUCGAAUAAAGGGUAGUUGCUGACGGUACUCUAAGAAUAAGCACCGGCUAACUACGUGCC